UUUUCUAUCUAGGUCUAAUAUUUGACCUUAAAUCAAUCAUUUAAGAUAUUAAUAAAUUGUCCAAAUUCUCGGGUUGUCACAUUCACCCCUCCUUUUAAGAAUUUCGUCCCCGAAAUUCACCUUACACCUUACACCGUAUACCAAAUAGCUUACACCAUUCACACAUAUCACAUACUACCCAAUUCACCACUCACAAGAGUAAAAGGUUUAAAAUUUUGCUGUGGGGUCAUAUAAGAUCAUGAACUUAUUUUCUCGGGUAUCUAUCAAAGAUACUCAAAUUUCUCGGGUAUCUAUCAAAGAUACUCAAAUUUCUCGGGUAUCUAUCAAAGAUACUGAAAUUUCCCGGGUAUCUAUCAAAGAUACUCAAAUUUCUCGGGUAUCUAUCAAAGAUACUCAAAUUAAAAUAUUCCCUUAAUAUAAAAGGUUGAUCUGCUCAGUCUUAUUUGAUUCCGCAGCAAAACAAUUUGGUUCGGGAAAUUUCUUUCGAUAAACACUUGGAGUUUUUGAAAACAUUUUUGAGAAUGACGUCAUGAUGCCGCACUGUAUUUAUAGUUCGUUGAGGAUUUCGUCAUUUGGUGACUUUGUUAUACUACAUCAUACUGUAGUGGGCUGACGAUCCUUAGAUCACAUUCAACACCAAGUAAUUCUGC
rnacentral:lncRNA from 1 species